GCGAGAAAAUGCCGCGCGGGUGAGGCAGCGCCGCGCUUAUUCCGGCGCAGCACGCGACACGCGGGCGCCGCCCCCGCGUCCGCCUCCACACCGGGCGCCCUCUCCACCGCCGCCCGCUGAAGUGGAGCCGUGGAGGUGGAGUGCUAGCCGAGUACUAGGGACUGGAGUCGUAGCAAAAUACAGGCGGACCGAGGCCUUGGGAGCCAUGAGCCUGCACGCCGCGCGCGGCGGGGCGCACGAGGAUCUGAGCUGGAGCGCCCUCGGGCGGCGGGCACCCGGUGACGUGAUGGUCGUCGAUCGAGGAGGGUGGGGAGGAGUGGGGACGAGGAGCAGGGCGCCGCAGGGAGGGCCGGCGGGGGAGGUGCGCGUGGACAAGGCGUCGUGCGCGUCCACCUUCCGCGAGCUCGACGACGCCUUCCUGCAGAAACAAACAAAAAUCUGGCUUGGAGAAGUUCUGCAUCGUAGGUUUGAUGAAGACGUUUUAGUUGCAGACCUUCUUGCUGAUGGGGAAUUACUGUACCAAAUUUCCAAAUUAAUAUGGAAAAGGUUACUUAAAAAGAACAGAGAACAAUUGAAGCAAUCAAAAGUGUAUAUUUAUGAGCGACCAUCUUUCGGCAGGAGCCAUGGAAAGUACAUGCCGUAUUUAAAAGUUGACUCUUUCCUAAAGAUAUGUCAAAUCCUUGGGUUAGCUGGAAUUGAUCUGUUUACCCCUUCUGAUGUUGUUGAAAAAAGAAAUGUUCGGAAAGUCUGUAUAUGCAUCCGAUCGGUAUCUAAAAAGUCUAACAUGAUGCGCCUAAAUGUGCCUGAUUUUGAUAUAGUGACCUACACAAUAUCCAUGCCCACCUAUAUUGUUGGAGGUAUACGUAGAAGUCUGGAACAGCCACAAUACAGUUCGUCCGGUUCAAGUGGAUACAGUCCACCUGACAGUUCCAAAGCAUUGCAGCAGCAGAUAAUAUUUGGUGGACAGAACGACAAGCAUGGGAACACAAAUUAUGAUUCUGAUGAAGCAGAAAGCAGACCGUCUGUUCUAGAACCUGAGGACUCAGUUGACGAAGACAACUUUGCAGCCGUGCUUUCGCCCCCUAAAGAAGAAAGUGAAGGCUAUGGAGAAAGUGGACAUGAUAUGCAUGAAGAAAAAUCUCUAGCUGAAUCAGUGGGAUCACUUGACUUUGGUGUUAUGGAUUCGGAGUCCGUGGAUUCAACUCCACAAAAUCAUGAUAAAGAAUAUUACUCUACUCAUUCUGCAACUGACCAAUGUUCAAGCUCUAGAACGGCCAGAUGUUCCUUAAGUUCAGAAGAGGCAGAUUCCAUAAGCAGUCAUUUGGCGUUUGAAAGUGGCAAGAAUGAUUCGGAGUUGAAUGCUCAUCCUGUCGCAGAUUCAGAAAGGAUUUAUGAUGGACAGGCCAAGUCUCUAGAUCAUUCUAUUCAGGGAAAUGGGGAAACAUUAGUGUAUCAUCCAAAAAAAGAGAGUGCUGACCUCCAAAAGGACACCCUUGCCUGUGAUAGGGAGUCAGUGUGUUCGAGUUGCGAGGAACUGAUGAGACAUGGGUUAAAUGGCGAGCCGUCAGACUUAAGCAAAUUGCCGAUGGUUUCUGAAGAUGCGGUGAAUAAUGUAGAGCCAAGCCUGACUGGGAUGACAAAUGAUUGCACGUGUGAAGAGCUGAAUCCUGAAUUCAGUGAUAGAUAUCAAAUGGAAGGUUCCCAACCUGGAGAUAAACCUGUGGACUCGGACGGUAUAGCUAAGCCUGCUCCUCAAAUGCCUGAAGAUGAUGCCCCCAAAUCAGGGAGAGGGGUGCUAAGGUCAGUUGCCGGAGGGAUUACCCUUGUCGGCGCAGUGUUCUUCAUGGCCCAUCUCAGGAGAAGCAAGGAGAGAAGCUUCACGCGAGUUAUGCCAUCGAUUCCAGUAAAAUCAAUUCAGAGUGACUCAAGGCCUAAGAACAUGGACAAAUAAAAGGCUCCUGCUGUGUAUCCCGGGGCACGGCUGAAGGUCUAAAAAGAUGGAUAUGGGACGCGCAUGCUGCUGCCUGGAAGCCAGAGCUUGAAGAAGGUCCAGCUUCCCGCUCAAGCUACCUGCCCGUCAUGCUCGGACGCGCCACCGCGGCAGACGAGAGGCGGCCGUCGCGCCGGCACCCUCAUCACUCUAUCCCUCCUACUACUCACCAAAGGUCGCGUGGCAUCAGCCCCGGCAGGUUCCUGGUUGCUGUCAACAUUACUGAUAGACUACUGGCAGGAUAUCUCAACUUCUCAAGGUAUGAUUAGAUAGGCACGCACGAGAAAUAAAGUUCGAAGUUGGCCUUAGGCAGCAGGCCUGUGGGAGCCCUGUGCUUAGUUAGUUCCUUUGUUUAUUUCGCUUUGGUCGAGUUUGAGUUCUACUUGUUUUUUUAAUCUCUCUUUGUAAGAACCCGUUUGCUUUCUCCUCUUAAAUGACAUAGCAGUGCUCCUGCAUUUUACUUUUUAAAAAA